rnacentral:rRNA from 1 species
ACGAACCCAUGGUCAAAAUGAUGGAUAACAUCGUUGACACGAUGAUUCUCUGCUCCUUGGUGACGUCUCUCUCAUUCCUGGGAGCGAUCGCUGUGGACCGCUACGUCACAAUCUUCUACGCUUUGAGAUACCAUAACAUUAUAACACAGCGUAGGGUGGUCAGCGCCAUUUCUGGGAUCUGGCUGGCCAGUGCGGCUUGCAGCAUUACCUUCAUAGUGUUUUCGGACAGCCACGUUGUCAUCUUGUGUCUCAUUGUGUUCUUUAUCUUCAUGAUGGUCUUAAUGUUGGGUCUCUACAUCCACAUGUUCGUUCUAGCAAGAAAACAUUCCCAGAUCAUUAUGGCCCAGCAAAAAGGGGUGCGAAGGGGGUUCUCUCCGCAUCGAGCUGCCGCCAAACUCCGAGGAGCUAUACCCUGACUAUGCUGCUCGGCAUCUUC